AAUUUAUUGUCUCUUCAAAGGCCCAACAAGAAAGUAUUUGUUGGUUUCUAAUAAAUGGGCAGAACAGGCACAGGGAGAGAGGCCUUAUCAGCUUGUGUACUUUAGAGAUAUUUCACAAACUACGGGUCAACACUGUACAAACUUUUGCUACAAAAAUAUCAACACAUUUUCAAGACAUAAAUGUAUGGUCUACAAACAACCACCGCAACUGGAAACUCUACUUCGUCUAAUCACUGUGAACACUCUUUUUCCACCAACAACUUAAUACUAGAAAAAUAACAACACAAGAAAAGACCUCCAAGGAUAACUCUUGCGUAGACUUUCAUCUCUUAUAAACAUGGCCAUUAAGAUUGCAGAAAGCUGAGGGCUUGUUUUAUGAAAGAAAAU
rnacentral:lncRNA from 1 species